ACGAACGCUGGCGGCGUGCUUAACACAUGCAAGUCGAACGGAAAGGCCCUGCUUUUGUGGGGUGCUCGAGUGGCGAACGGGUGAGUAACACGUGAGUAACCUGCCCUUGACUUUGGGAUAACUUCAGGAAACUGGGGCUAAUACCGGAUAGGAGCUCCUGCUGCAUGGUGGGGGUUGGAAAGUUUCGGCGGUUGGGGAUGGACUCGCGGCUUAUCAGCUUGUUGGUGGGGUAGUGGCUUACCAAGGCUUUGACGGGUAGCCGGCCUGAGAGGGUGACCGGCCACAUUGGGACUGAGAUACGGCCCUGACUCCUACGGGAGGCAGCAGUGGGGAAUAUUGCACAAUGGGCGGAAGCCUGAUGCAGCAACGCCGCGUGCGGGAUGACGGCCUUCGGGUUGUAAACCGCUUUCGCCUGUGACGAAGCGUGAGUGACGGUAAUGGGUAAAGAAGCACCGGCUAACUACGUG
rnacentral:rRNA from 1 species